rnacentral:tRNA from 1 species
GCCCCGUUAGCUCAGAUGGAUAGAGCACAGGAUUCCUAAUCCUGGGGCCGUGGGUUCGAAUCCCGCACGGGGCACCA